UUCUCAGUCCCACUGACAUGCCUUCUAUUGAAGAAAAAUAGUCUGGGGACGAGACAGACAACUUCCGGAUCAAUGGGUCCAAGGUGAGUAAGGUAGUUAAAUAACUCCUUAGUGGUAGGGCCCCAGGUGAUUUGCCUUGAGUUACUAUAGGUAUAUCUUGGUUGACACACCUCUGCAACAUCACUUGGAGAUCCAGGGCAGUCCCUCUGGAUUGGCAGACAGGGGUGGUGGUUACUUGGGUGAUUCAAUUACAGUGGGAUCACACUACUCAGCCUCCCUAGGAAGAAAAGUCUAUGCCAGGGUACUGGAGACAAGAGUUUGUCCAUAAUUCGAACCUCGGAUUCAGUGAUUGUCAUCCUGGUCAUAGACCGCUAAACCAGAUCUUUAUCCUAAUGAGGAAAUUCAAGUUUGAAUGGGGGUUACAGUCUACAUGUGUUUUAUGGGAUUUGACCGCAUCCCUCGAGACAUUGUAUGGAAGGUGCUUUGGGAGUAUGGGGCAUCUAGCUCAUUAUCAAAGGCCAUUUGGUCCUUGUGCAACUGCAGCAAGAGCUUGGUCUGUCUUGCUGACAAUAGACUCAUUCCCAGCAGGUGUUGGGAUUAUGAUUAUGUUCAUAAUUUUUUAAACAAAAUUUCUAGGCAGUCUUAAGUAGCAAAAGGCCUCCCCUCUGGUUGUCUCAGGAUCUCAUCUCUAUUUUUUGUGGUUCUGUUGGCUUCAUCAGGUGGUGGCAUCCAGAUUGUACAUCAACAGUUUGCGGCCCAAUGUGAAGCAAUGGGAAUACCAGUUAGCACUUUCAAGUGUGGGGCUUGAAAGUUCUUAGCAAGAAUAGAUUAGAGAGCCUUCUUGGGGUUAGGGACAAGUUGUUGCCCCAAAUGGAGGAAUUCAAGUAUCUGGGGGUCAAAAGUGAAGAGAAAGGAGAGCGGGGGAGUGACAAAUAGAUUGGAGCCAUGUCUGCAGUGAUGCAUAUGCUUUACUGGUCUCUUGUGGUAAAGAGAGAUCUGAAUAUAAAUAUGCUAUGGUGUUGAUUUUACUAGUUGAUAAUGACGUCUACUGCCUGGCCAUCCUGGCCCAAUCCCCAGAGCUGGGUUUGCCAUUCCCCACCUGCCGUGGCCACCUGCAAGCCAUCAAACAGCAAACAGCUGUCCAGUACUUAAGAUGUGCGUUGGCUUCCACACUCUGCUAGACCGUCCACUACCCCAUGAUGAAUCAUUACCCACCACACCUGCAGCUGAUUCUCGUGUUCAUCUCUCCUCUCACCUGAAAAAGCUCAUGGACUAGCUACUCCGACAGCGUUCACAGAAAUUCACUCUGCCUGCCACUCACCUCUGGAUCAUGCAAAUUGGCUGGAUUGCCUCACUCUCACCCUGUUGGACACUCACACCAGUUCCUCCCUCCCUCCGGACCCCAGUCUCUCAUCUAACCAGUAACCUGUAAUUUCUUCAUUCUAAUCAUUACCUGGCAAUUCCUCCUACUCCCUCACUAAUCCCUCUCUCCCUUUGCUUCUAGUGACUGCAACAUCUAAGACCCUCACCUCUGUCUCCUACCCCCCAAAGUUCUCCUUCUUUUUUCCUUGUGAUUAAAUAAACUUAAGUUCACUGUAUCUCACUAGUCAAUUGAGUUUGCUUUUGGGUUCAGCCCUCGUACCAGCCUAGUGGCCCCUGACAGAUAAACAUCCCUACCCUCGCCUGGCUAGUGACCUAAAGUAUGCGAUUGCAAAUACAAGCGGUGAACAUUUUGUUGUCUCCAGAAUGUGGCUCAGUGCUCCUUUAGAUAUAGUUUAAGAAAUUCAGUCAUUUAGGAGGGAACUAGACUAAAGCCGCUACUCCUCCACAUUAAACUGAACCAAUUGAGGUGGUCUGGGCAUCUGACUAGGAUACCUCCUGGCCACCUCCUGAGCGAGGUGUUCUGGGCAUACUGCAAAGCUAUAGGGUAUUGAAGUAUGGCACUGUGAACCCCUUGAGCCUGCUGUACCACCCCUCCCUUGAAGUUGAGCCAUGGACCACACUGCCACCACAGGCACCUUUCUUUGAUCACAAGUGCCAUAGCUGUGUGCAGGCAGGCAGGAUGAUAGACCCAAACGCAGGCCUCGUGGAGACAAACGUGAACUCAAAAACCUCAGCUUUAUUUGUUGGCAAUUACUAAACAGAAAACUAAACUGGUGAAACAUGUCAGUUUCUAGCUUCACCACACGGGCAAUUAUGAGGUUACGACGCGACAUAGGGCAAGGAAAACACAGGGCUAAAAACACAGUAACCAGGGAAUGGGAGACAGGAGGGAGACACAGCUGGGAGAAAUCAGACUAAACUAGACAAGGGAAGCAAACCUAGAAGCACUGACAUGAGACACGCACUUUUAAAGUAAAUCAGAAAACACAUCGACUUAACUCAAGAUACGUAAACUUAACAGAGACCGGGGGAGACAGAACAUAGGAACCUGAAACGUGGGAUAGGAGGGCACAGAGUAGACAACACAGAACACAGGGAAGCCACAUAACAAAACCUAAGAACUAGUAAUCACAUAAUAAAGAAUUAGAGAGCUAGAAAUACUGAGAAAUAAACCUAAAUACUAGUAGUGAUAACAGUGAUAAAAAUAAUCAAUGAUCAAAAAAACAGAACAAAACUGGGUCCCAGGACCGUGACAACAAGCUUGUAGAGAAUAGCCUGCCAAAGGCAAGCCUCUAAGUAACGAAUUUGAGGAUUUUUUAAAUAAUGUUAAAUGAUUUCUACAAAACAUGAAGUGUGCCAGAGCUGAAGAGGUGUCUAUAAUAUCACCUCUUCUUCAGAUAACAAGGCUAGGAGAAUCCGAUGUCCUCCGAGUCCAAGUGAAUCUCAGGUCAGUUCUCUCAAUCUAAAUUUGUAAUUUAUUUGUAAUUAUGACUUAUUUCAAUUGUAUGAAAGAUUAAAAUGGAGUGCUGGUUUAGCUCAGUGGGUGAGCUAUAUGCCGUAUGGCAGGACAGCAUCUGGCCUGGGCCAAACCCGGGCUGUGUGUCCUCACCUCUCUCUCUAAGCUUUACUGUCUAUCGUCACUGCAUCUGUCCCAAAAAAGGCUAAAAGCCAAAAAAGUAAUUUUUUUUUGUUUUUUAAAGUAAGCAUAAACACUUACGAGUGUUUCAUUAAACUUCAGCUUUUUCUCCUCAACUUCCAGUCUUAUAGAAAUCUGUUUGCAGGAAGAAUAUUCUACUUUAAAUCAAUCAGUAAUCAACUAAGGACACUGACAGAGUUUGAAUUCAUUUGAAUACCUGACUUAGUCUUUUAUUUGUUGUUAUCGAUUGUCUGUUUGGCUCUUACUCAUAGUGUCUAUAAUUAUUUUAUCUGAAGUGAGAACUAAAUCAGAUUUUUUAAAAGUCUGGGAAAUGAGGUAGAAACUCAGAGUAAGGGCCAAGCAUAUGAUAGAUAACAACAAAUAAAACAGUUCUUUGUUUAUUGUUUGUUUAAAGGACUUCCUGUCUGUGAUGCAGUGUGCAUUUCUUCUCCACCCCUUAUCUAUUCUCCACUGUAGCAUGUCAUUAAAGUUUUGCCUUCUCCCUUAGUCUCUUUUUUGUUCUGUCUCCUCAUGCUCGCUUUUUACUUUUUUAUUUUCGUCUUUUCUCGUUCAUCUGACCCCCAACAAGUCACAGCAGCCCCUCUCCAAGCCUUGGGGUCACAGAAAACUGGGAGCUAUCUCAUAUUUAUAUGGGGAGAUAACCUCACAUCUGGUGUGGCCUGAGAUUCCCAGAGAGGUAGAGGCUAAGACCCAACCUGACACAUAAACAUAGACAAACAGGCAA